rnacentral:piRNA from 1 species
UGAGCCCAGCCAGACUGCAAGGUGCUAAUACG